rnacentral:tRNA from 1 species
UCGAUAGCUCAGUUGGUAGAGCGGUGGACUGUAGUGAAACGAUUCAUUGGGAAUGGAAAUCCAUAGGUCGCUGGUUCAAAUCCGGCUCGA